rnacentral:lncRNA from 1 species
AAUAAAUUAAUUUGUAUUAGGUUAUUUCAGUAAUUUUAAUUUAAAAAAAAAUGAAGAGGAACUUUAAGGGGUGUCAAAAUGCUACUCUUUUAUUAGGAAAGACUAGGGAUUGGGCCUUCUAGGAGCACCUAUUAUUAAGUCUCAUUGCACGUACAUUUCGGGGAGCAAAUUUCUUUUAUUUUCUCUCUCAUUUUGGGAAAGAAAAUAAAAUUACCCUCUCACAUUCCAUUAACAUACGCAUAUAAACCCCUUACCUAAUGAUCCAUAAAAGGGGAGAUGAUGAUUAAUGAGUGUAAACACAAAAUUUUAUUUUUAUUUUUAUUACUUUAAGGUUUUUUUAUUAGUUUUAACACUAAACUUUAUAUAGGUGCAUAUUGAGAAGAAAGUUUGGAGAACCACAUUAUCCUUUUUUUUUCUUUUGAAAUGGGGAGAAAAACGUUACUAAUUACUAAAAAUUGAAAAUUAUGUGUAACAAUGGUUGGUGAGCAUUAAGCAAUGCUGUCUUUAGGCGUAAAGAUGACAAAUGGUGAAUGCAUAAAAUGUAGGGACUUUCUUAUCUUAUCUUAGAAGCCCUAAUUCUAGCACAAUAAAAAUCUUAUUGGUAAUGUCACCGAAGACAUAAUAGAGUGGAUCAAAUUAAUCUCCAAAUUCAGCAAUUUAAGUAAAAAUUCAUAUUGUAGGUUGCGAUGGCACUUUUCCUUUUGAUGUAUGCAUUGUUCUUUAUCAAAUGUAAAUUAGUAUAAGAAUUUGUGUGUGUGUGUGUGGUCUUUCUCUAGUAUGGGUGUACAUAGAGUUAAGAUUUUAACUCUUUUAAACUAUAUAGUUUUAUAGUUCAUUUACAAAUAAGUUUAUUAAACUCUACGAUUUAAAAAUGAUGUAUAUACACACACUUCUAUUUUUAAUAUUUUUAUAAGAAGAAUUGGUAUUUUCAAUACUGUUGAAAGCACCAGUUAAUAUUACUACAAACCCAACGGCGCAAAACGACUUUAAUCCUGUAGCAGUUUAAACAUUAAUUAAGAAUUUGAAAAAAAGAAGAAGAAACAUCGUUUGUGGCUCAUUCACAGUUUAAUUAACACAGCAUACCCAAUAAAUAGCUUAUUUCUAGUCUUCACUUCUCAUCAGAAAACUGGGCAUUUAAUAUUACAAUUAUGCAUCAUUUAUUGGUCCAAUAACACAAGUUUCAAUCAACCUCCUAGGUAGCAGACGCUUCACAUUGUAGUACCCAUAUCUAUCCAACACAGGCCUGGCUAUAGGAGCCUCUUGUUGACAUCAAUAAUUGAGUUCGGGCAGCAACAAUUACUAAUUUACUAUUACUAUCAUUUUUCUUUUGUUGCUUUUUGGAAGUCUGAACGUGGCUCUUGCCUCUGGUCCUGUAGCCCCAUAAAUUUCAUGAGGCAGAAGCCAAGAGCCCACUGGCUGCAUCUGUCAGGUGGGUGAGUGUGUUUACUUGGUGAUGUGGUCACGUCUCUCAUAGCUUCUUAGGCACAAAUUAGGUGGAUGGGCAUAUAGUGAGCAGUAUUGAGUAGCCGUGGGGUAGGUGCUAUAGUAAACCAAUACUAUCAAUUACCUCAUUAGUUCUAUUUAAAAAAAAGAAAGGGAAAAAAAUCUCUUAGAAACGUAAACAUAUUAGCCGCGGCCUAAACUUUAUUUCAAUUAUAUGUUUCUCUUGCUGUAAUUUCAAGCAUAUCUUUUGAUUUAUACCCUAUAUCUUUAGUCAAAUGAAAUUGUCAGUUUUCUAUCUAUCAAAAUCAAGAUAUAGUAUUUAUUUCCUAUUAUUUUCAUAAUAGUUAAUAAUCCUAUUGACAAUAUAAUUUGAAAGUACUUUCAAAUGCACUU